ACCUAUAGAUGAAACUCAUAACAUCUACUGUCCCUAGCCCAGCACUUGGCUCUCAGUCUCUUCAUCUCCUGAAAUAGAAGAGUUGGACCACAUGACCUUGAGAUUACUAUCUGAAACACUUCCUAUGCAGGCUGGGGUGAAGGUGUCCUUCCUGCUCCUGGGUUCAGUGAGGAAUUUAGAUGUCUUUCUCAAGAUUUUCUGAGAGGACAAAAGGCGAUUACUGUGGACUCCUCUAAAGGCUGCAGCCAUAAGGAAAGAAAAAUUUCUAAUCUGAAGAAAUGAAACGAAGUUACAAAUGAAACAAAGAAAUGAAACAAAGUUACAAAGAAGUACUUAGCCUCCUGAGAGGACCAUCCCUGCACCCUUGCUGUGCUCAGGAGUCUUGAGCUCUUAGAGGCUAAGGCAUCUCAUUAGCUACCCUAGGCAGAAAAUGUGAAGAAGGCCUUAGCAGGCAGCUUUGCCCUGGGAUGCCGCUCUCCACCUUGUUUUUCAUGUGCUGGUGCUGCUUUUGCCUAACUCUCUGACCAACUGCCUGAAUCAAUAUGACAGAGCAGCCCUAUCCUGGUUGACAUUCCUGGACUUGGCUUCUCCCCUGCUGGUCUCAUGGCGCUCACCUGAUCCUUCCUCCCGGAAGGUUUCACACAGAGCACUUCUAGGUAGCCGUGCCCUGGGCAAUGUGACUCACUGACCAGCUGACACACUUCAAAUUCCAAAGCUGUCAGGGUUCACUUUGACUCAUCAUCCUAUCGACAUGUACAUGCAGGCUGAUCAAUUUCCAGUGACCUGCCUCUGGAUAGUAAAGUCCCUGAGGACAAUGACCAUGUCCAUGUGUCCGCUUUGUUCACCAAUUGCACACUCAGGACCAUAGAAGACUCCUAGAAGAACCUGGUGACUAAAUGAAUAUAGGAAGAAUCUACUUAGGCUCCCUUUUCCCCUGCCAUAUAAAACAGCUUAAGUCAUUGCAGAAAAUCCACUUGAGCGGGGAUUGGCAGACAUUUUCUGUAAGCAAUCAGCUAGUACAUCUGGGCAAAAUAGUAAGACCUCGCCCCUAUAAAAUAAAUUAAAAAUCAGCUGGGCAUGGUGGCAAGUACCCAUAGUCCAGCUAUUUGGGAGGCUGAGCUGGGAGGAUUGCUUGAGCCUGGCAGGGUAAUAAGCCUGAUGGCACCACAGCACUCCAACCUUGGCAACAGAGUGAGACUCUGUCUCAAAACAAAUCUGGGAUUCCCAGGCAAGUGGCAAAAUCGAGGUUAUGAUAUAGGUACUUAAAAAGCAAAAGAGAAAACAAAUUCCUAUGAUAUUUGUAUUAGUGAAGUUCAAAAUAUAAUAAUGAAUACAGUUUUUAGAUAAAACACAUCUCCUAAUAAGAAGAUUAAAAUUCUUUUUUCAUAAAUAGCAUUUUCCUUAGUUGGGGCUCAAAGUGUUCUAUCAUUAAAAUCAAUCGCAAAUGUUCAUCUGUUAAUGCUGAUGUGUAAAGAGAUUUUAUGUAUUUCAUAUUUGAUUUUCAUAUAAUUCGCAUAUGUCAUAAAAUAUUCUUUUAUUUUUUUUAUUGAUUCUUAGCUUGAGGGCAGCACAAAAACAGACAGUGGGCUGGAUUUGGCUUCAGGCUGUAGUUUGUCAGCCCCUGCACUUGAGGAUACUAGAGAGUAAAGUAUUCUCAUUCUCUCUCUCUCUCGCUCUCUCUCUUUCUGGCCUCAAUCUUCCAAGUCCUGCAUUUUCUAAAACCUUGGGGUUUCCAAGACACUUUCACUCCUGUUCUUGGUGCCCCUUCCUUCUCAAAGAAGGAAACACAAGUCUGAGCCUGACAACUCCAGAGAAUAGGUCCCAGGGGCUUCGUUAUUUCCCAACUGAGCAGAGUCAGAGCUGCUAAAGGCCUUUCCUUUUCCAAAGCUGGCAUUAGCUCUCUGUCAACCACACAAAAACCGCUGGGAAGGGCUUGCCUGUGCUGCUUCUCCACCUCAAACCACAGAAGAAGGGCGGCCUCAGAGAGGCUGGGUAAUGGGAAACAGUUGUGCUUGCCCAGCCCCGCUCACGGAGGGAACAUAAUCAAAUGCAUAAAAUCUCAUUGCAUCCUGAAAAACAUAUCAUUUUGGGAAGACAACUGACCACAGCACAGAGUUCAGUGUUGGCAAAAUGACAUAAAUAAUGCACUACAAGGACUUCACCUUUUGUAAAUAUAGAGAAUACUAAGGAGAUCAGAUACUUGUGAAAGCAUCAAUCAUUCAUGGAUUCAUUAAUCUAUUCAACAAAUUUUUCAAGGGUCUCUCAUGUGUCAGGCACCAUAUCAGGCCAUGAGCAUACUGCACACUGCAGAAAAUAAGACAGUCUCUGCUGUCAUGAAGUUUGUAAUGGUGUUUAAGAGCAUUUGCUAAAGCUCAGUGUUCCAUGGUACAUUAUAAAUAUUUCUUGAAUUAAAAUGAUUGCAUGGUGAAAUAGUUGGGGAAAACAGGGGUUAAUAAAAUAACCAGGUUACUUGAUUGUGAAA